rnacentral:rRNA from 1 species
ACACGUAGGGGGCGAGCGUUAUCCGGAAUUACUGGGCGUAAAGAGUGCGUAGGUGGCUUUGCAAGCGUAGGGUAUAAGGCGACAGCCCAACUGUCGUUGGCCCCGCGAACUGUAAGGCUUGAGUACAGGAGGGGAAGGCGGAAUUCCUAGUGUAGCGGUGACUUGCGUAGAUAUUAGGAGGAACACCAGUGGCGAAGGCGGCCUUCUGGACUGUAACUGACACUGAGGCACGAAAGCGUGGGUAGCAAACAGGAUUAGAUACCCUGGUAGUCCACGCCGUAAACGAUGAGCACUAGGUGUCGGGCUCGCAAGAGUUCGGUGCCGGAGCAAACGCAUUAAGUGCUCCGCCUGGGGAGUACGCACGCAAGUGUGAAACUCAAAUGAAUUGACGGGG